AUUGAACGCUGGCGGCAGGCUUAACACAUGCAAGUCGAGCGGAGAGAGGUAGCUUGCUACUGAUCUUAGCGGCGGACGGGUGAGUAAUGCUUAGGAAUCUGCCUAUUAGUGGGGACAACAUUUCGAAAGGAAUGCUAAUACCGCAUACGUCCUACGGGAGAAAGCAGGGGAUCUUCGGACCUUGCGCUAAGAGAUGAGCCUAAGUCGGAUUAGCUAGUUGGUGGGGUAAAGGCCUACCAAGGCGACGAUCUGUAGCGGGUCUGAGAGGAUGAUCCGCCACACUGGGACUGAGACACGGCCCAGACUCCUGCGGGAGGCAGCAGUGGGGAAUAUUGGACAAUGGGCGGAAGCCUGAUCCAGCCAUGCCGCGUGUGUGAAGAAGGCCUUAUGGUUGUAAAGCACUUUAAGCGAGGAGGAGGCUACUUUAGUUAAUACCUAGAGAUAGUGGACGUUACUCGCAGAAUAAGCACCGGCUAACUCUGUGCCAGCCGCCGCGGUAAAAC
rnacentral:rRNA from 1 species